UGUAAGUGUGGGCCGGUAUGGGGUGGCAUACGUAGGGCGCGGUGUGUGUCCGGAAUUAGUUGACGGAAAGGGCUGUGAGGCGGUCUGUUGCGUCCGCUGGGAAAGCCCAGGGCUCAACCCUGGGCGUGCAGUGGAUACGGGCAGGCUGGAGGCAGGCAGGGGAGAACGGAAUUCCCGGUGUAGCGGUGAAAUGCGCAGAUAUCGGGAGGAACACCGGUGGCGAAGGCGGUUCUCUGGGCCUGUGCUGACGCUGAGGAGCGAAAGCGUGGGGAGCGAACAGGAUUAGAUACCCGAGUAGUC
rnacentral:rRNA from 1 species